rnacentral:rRNA from 1 species
CCUACGGGAGGCAGCAGUGAGGAAUAUUGGUCAAUGGGCGGGAGCCUGAACCAGCCAAGCCGCGUGAGGGAAGAAGGUACAGCGUAUCGUAAACCUCUUUUGUCAGGGAUCAAAGGCGGGGACUAGUCCCCGGAUGAGGGUACCUGAAGAAAAAGCAUCGGCUAACUCCGUGCCAGCAGCCGCGGUAAUACGGAGGAUGCGAGCGUUAUCCGGAUUGAUUGGGUUUAAAGGGUGCGCAGGCGGCCUGUUAAGUCAGCGGUAAAAGCCCGGGGCUCAACCCCGGAGAGCCGUUGAAACUGGCGGGCUGGAGUUGGAGAGAAGUACGCGGAAUGCGCGGUGUAGCGGUGAAAUGCUUAGAUAUCGCGCAGAACCCCGAUUGCGAAGGCAGCGUACCGGCUCCACACUGACGCUGAGGCACGAAAGCGUGGGUAUCGAACAGGAUUAGAUACCCCUGUAGUC